rnacentral:snoRNA from 1 species
CCAAGUGAUGAUCAAAAGACAAAAUAUAGGGAAUUCCUCAUGCCGAAUAUACGAUGUGGAACCAUUUGUUUCAGCCUUGUCUGACU